CAUUUUGAGCAAAUUUGGACUACGGUAAACCAGAAAACAGAACAUUGCAGCAGUCCAAACUAGAAAAGACAAAUGCAUGAAUCGGGGUCUCAGCAUCAGCCAUAGACAGGAUGGGAUGAAUCUUCUCUAUAUUUUGCAAGUGGAAGACAGCAGACUUCAUAUUCUCU